GUCCAACGGCUCCGGGGUAGAGUCCGGCGCAGAGUGAAGGGCUUUCGCUGCUGGUGGCCGUCCUCCGUCCCGUGCGUGCGAGGUGGAGGGUCUCGACUCCUGACUGCUUGAAGCGUCCGCCAUGAGGAGAAGUGAGGUGCUAGCAGAGGAGUCCAUCCUAUGCCUCCAGAAAGCUCUAACCCACCUUCGGGAAAUAUGGGAAUUAAUUGGGAUUCCAGAGGAGCAGCGAUUACAAAGAACCGAGGUUGUAAACAAGCAUAUCAAGGAUCUUCUGGAUAGGAUGAUUGCUGAGGAGGAGAGCCUGAGGGAAAGGCUCCUCAAAAGCAUAUCCAUCUGUAAGAAAGAGCUGAAUACUCUGUGCAGUGAGUUACAAGUGGAGCCAUUUCAUGAAGAGAGAGAAACAACUGUCUUACAACUAGAAAAAACUUUGCGCACUCAAGUAGAAUUGAUGAGAAAACAGAAAAAGGAGCGAAAGCAGGAACUUAAGCUACUUCAAGAACAAGAUCAAGAACUCCGUGAAAUUCUUUGUAUGCCUCCCUGCGACGUGGACAGCACCUCUGUCCCUACCUUGGAAGAGCUGACCCUGUUCCGGCAACAUGUGGCAACCCUGAGGGAAACGAAGGAAUCUAGGCACGAACAAUUUGUCAGCCUUAAGAAACAAAUCAUACUGUGUAUGGAAGAAUUAGAACACACUCCAGAUACAAGCUUUGAAAGAGAUGUAGUGUGUGAAGAUGAAAGUGCCUUUUGUUUAUCACUGGAGAAUAUUGCGACACUACAGAAGUUGCUACAGCAGCUGGAAAUGAAAAAAUCACAAAAUGAAGCAGAGUGUGAGGCGCUCCGGGCUCAAAUCCGAGAGCUCUGGGAUAGGUUACAAAUACCUGAAGAAGAGAGAGAACCUGUGACUGCAUUUAUGACUGGAUCAAAAGCCAAAAUCAGGAAUGCGCUGCAAUUAGAAGUGGAUCGGUUAGAAGAACUGAAAAUGCAAAACAUAAAGCAAGUGAUCGAGACAAUUCGAGUGGAGCUGGCUCAGUUCUGGGACCUGUGUUUCUAUAGCCAGGAACAGAGGCAGGCUUUUGCCCCUUACUAUUCUGAGGACUACACAGAAAACCUGCUCCAUCUUCACGACACUGAAGUUAUACGGUUAAAAAACUACUAUGAAGUUCACAAGGAACUAUUUGAAGGUGUCCAGAAAUGGGAAGACAGCUGGAAACUUUUCCUAGAGUUUGAGAAAAAAGCUUCAGAUCCAAGUCGGUUUACAAACAGAGGGGGAAAUCUUCUAAAAGAAGAAAAGGAACGUGCAAAGCUCCAGAAAACACUCCCUAAGCUGGAAGAGGAGCUGAAAGCACGGAUUGAAAAGUGGGAACAAGAGCAGUCGACAGCAUUUGUGGUGAAUGGGCAGAAAUUCAUGGAGUAUGUUACAGAACAGUGGGAAUUACAUCGCUUGGAGAAAGAAAAAGCCAAACAGGAAAGGCAACUGAAGAACAAGAUACAGACAGAGACGGAGAUGCUAUUCGGCAGUGCUCCCCGGACACCUAGCAAGAGACCAGGAUUUACUCCCAACAAGUCAGGCAAAGUACGCAAGAUGAACACUACCACCAUGUCCACUGCUACGCCCAAUAACAGCAUCCGGCCUGUCUUUGGAACAGUGCCCCGCUCACCUGUGUCUCGGCUACCACCUUCCGGCAGCAAGUCAGUAGUCACUUCUAUGUAUUCUGGAAAGAAAACCCCUAGAGCUGCUCAGCUUAGGGCCAACAAGGAGAACAUGGAUCUCAAUGGCAGCAUCCUGAGCGGUGGGUACUCUGGCUCGACGCCCCGCCAGCACAACUGCAGCAUUAAGUCUGUUGCCAGCACCUAUUCUGAGUUUUCGAAGGACCCAUCCCUCUCUGACAGCUCCACUGUUGGGCUUCAGGUCUGUAUGGCAACCCCUGCAUGUCCCCUUUCCAAAUUGGUCUGUUAUGUGCUGGCUUCAUUCCCAUCUGGGCACAGAACUACACUAACCCAUAGUCUCAGCUGUAUCAACAUAGAACCUUUUAAAACAAAGGAAGCAAGAAUUCCUGUUAUGUUAUGGGCUUCAAAAAUAAGUAUCUGCUGUCUAUUUCCAGUAGACUGACAUGCUGGCUAGCAAAUAAAACAUGUUCAGACUUGACUUGGAUUCUCAGCCCCACCGAGAACUUUCAAAGGCUUCCAGAUGUGAUGCUACUGCUCGAAUCCUCAAUUCAACCAACAUCCAGUCCUGAGAAUCCUUGACCAGUUAGCUAGCUGUGGCUUCCUGUGCCUACACUGGACUGACUUAUACAAGGGGUGACUUUAUCGCUUUUAUCAGUUUAGAUACGCCUGAAACAGCCUUGGGCAGGUCUGUCACCAUGGGCCUUAGACAUGAGUGCAACAGAUGAGAGGUCCUCAUCCGUGUAGCAAGUCCAGAGAGACGUUUUUCAGUCAAGAGAUACCUUGAAAUCUAGUUAUGACAGUACAGAUUUUAACAUCUGGUACCUAAUUUUUUUCUCUACCCCGUAAGUCUAUUUAAGGAUAACCGAGGGUUUGUCUUAUUUCACUACUAUAUUGGAAAAUGAGAAAAUGAUUAUGCCCAGCCUUGAAGUAUGAGACAUGAAAAAUUGUGGCUUAUAGACUUGGAAUUAGCUUUUAACAUCUUUUAAAGCCUUUUGUUGUUGUUGUUUAGGAACAUUAAUGCUGUAGCGAUGGUAGCUUUAAUCUUCUGGGGCCUGUGCUCUGCACUCUCCUACUGAGGGUUUCUCGUGUUAGCAUUUGCGAUGGCUUGCCCUGCCGCAGGAACAGUUGUUUAUUAGUGCAGUCUUUUUGAGGUUUAUGUGUAUUUGAACACACAUGCUUGUCUGAGCAGUCUGUCUUCAGUCUUCCAUCCCUGUACUCACUAUGACUAGUUCUAUUUCCUGUAGUUCACAAGCAAAUGAAGACGCUAUCUGGGUGAGUUGAGCCAUUCUGUCAUGGACUCAGCAACUUUGCACAUCCACAAGGAAGUUACUCCUGUGAUCACGUCCUGAAUGAGACUCUCUUUACCUACCUAGUUCAUCACUACCCUCCCCAAAGCCCUAUUAUUUAUUCUUUCUCUGCCAGUGCCAGAUCUAUCAACACAUGAUUGUUUACCCACAUAUAUGUUUUUAAAUGUAUUAAAAUAAAAUGUAUAUAUAGUUACCUUUCAAA